CUUGAACGCUGGCGGCAGGCUUAACACAUGCAAGUCGAGCGAGCGGCGGACGGGUGAGUUAUGACUGGGAAACUGCCUGAUGGAGGGGGAUAACUACUGGAAACGAUAGCUAAUACCGCAUACCAUCAGAUGUGCCCAUAUGGGAGUAGCUAGGAGGUGGGGGAAUGGCUCACCUAGGCGACGAACCCUAGCUGGUCUGAGAGGAUGACCAGCCACACUGGAACUGAGACACGGUCCAGACGCCUACGGGAGGCAGCAGUGGGGAAUAUUGCACAAUGGGCGAAAGCCUGAUCCAGCCAUGCCGCGUGUGUGAAGAAGGCCUUCGGAUUGUAAAGCACUUUCAGCGAGGAGGCGUUACCAGCAGAAGAAGCACCGGCUAACUCCGUGCCAGCAGCCGCGGUAAUAC
rnacentral:rRNA from 1 species